rnacentral:rRNA from 1 species
GAUGAACGCUAGCUACAGGCUUAACACAUGCAAGUCGAGGGGUAACGAGAGGAAAGCUUGCUUUCCUUGUCGACGACCGGCGCACGGGUGAGUAACGCGUAUCCAACCUGCCCCCAACUAGGGAAUAACCUUGCGAAAGUAAGACUAAUACCCUAUAAUUUCCUCAGAUGUCAUCUGACGAGGAAUAAAGAUUUCUCGGUUGUGGAUGGGGAUGCGUCUGAUUAGCUUGUUGGCGGGGUAACGGCCCACCAAGGCAACGAUCAGUAGGGGUUCUGAGAGGAAGGUCCCCCACAUUGGAACUGAGACACGGUCCAAACUCCUACGGGAGGCGGCAGUGAGGAAUAUUGGUCAAUGGGCGGAAGCCUGAACCAGCCAAGUAGCGUGCAGGAUGACGGCCCUAUGGGUUGUAAACUGCUUUUAUACAGGAAUAAAGUUAGCCACGUGUGGUUAUCUGUAGGUACUGUAUGAAUAAGGACCGGCUAAUCCCGUGCCAGCAGCCGCGGUAA